ACUCUGGUAUUGAUUGGUGCUUGCAUCAUGAUUUACAUUUGAGUGAGUGGCGAACUGGUGAGUAACACGUGGGAAACCUGCCCAGAAGCGGGGGAUAACACCUGGAAACAGAUGCUAAUACCGCAUAACAACUUGGACCGCAUGGUCCGAGUUUGAAAGAUGGCUUCGGCUAUCACUUUUGGAUGGUCCCGCGGCGUAUUAGCUAGAUGGUGGGGUAACGGCUCACCAUGGCAAUGAUACGUAGCCGACCUGAGAGGGUAAUCGGCCACAUUGGGACUGAGACACGGCCCAAACUCCUACGGGAGGCAGCAGUAGGGAAUCUUCCACAAUGGACGAAAGUCUGAUGGAGCAACGCCGCGUGAGUGAAGAAGGGUUUCGGCUCGUAAAACUCUGUUGUUAAAGAAGAACAUAUCUGAGAGUAACUGUUCAGGUAUUGACGGUAUUUAACCAGAAAGCCACGGCUAACUACGUGCCAGCAGCCGCGGUAAUACGUAGGUGGCAAGCGUUGUCCGGAUUUAUUGGGCGUAAAGCGAGCGCAGGCGGUUUUUUAAGUCUGAUGUGAAAGCCUUCGGCUCAACCGAAGAAGUGCAUCGGAAACUGGGAAACUUGAGUGCAGAAGAGGACAGUGGAACUCCAUGUGUAGCGGUGAAAUGCGUAGAUAUAUGGAAGAACACCAGUGGCGAANGCGGCUGUCUGGUCUGUAACUGACGCUGANGCUCGAAAGUAUGGGUAGCAAACAGGAUUAGAUACCCUGGUAGUCCAUACCGUAAACGAUGAAUGCUAAGUGUUGGANGGUUUCCGCCCUUCAGUGCUGCAGCUAACGCAUUAAGCAUUCCGCCUGGGGAGUACGGCCGCAAGGCUGAAACUCAAGGAAUUGANGGGGCCCGCACAAGCGGUGGAGCAUGUGGUUUAAUUCGAAGCUACGC
rnacentral:rRNA from 2 species